AUUGAACGCUGGCGGCAGGCUUAACACAUGCAAGUCGAACGAGUGGCGGACGGGUGAGUAAUGCUUGGGAAUAUAGCUUAUGGAGGGGGAUAACUAAGGGAAACAGUAGCUAAUACCGCGAAACCUAGGAUGAGCCCAAGUGGGAUUAGGUAGUGGGUGAGGUAAAGGCUCACCAAGCCGACGAUCCCUCGCUGGUCUGAGCGGCUGAAACGCGACACUGAGAAUGAGACACGGUCCAGACUCCUACGGGAGUCAGCAGUGGGGAAUAUUGCGCAAUGGGGGCAACCUGACGCAGCGAUGCCGCGUGAAUGAAGAAGGCCUUCGGGUUGUAAAGUUCGUUCGGUAGCGAGGCGUUAACUACAGAAGAAGCCCCGGCUAACUCCGUGCCAGCAGCCGCGGUAAUAC
rnacentral:rRNA from 1 species